GUCCAGACUCCUACGGGAGGCAGCAGUGGGGAAUAUUGCACAAUGGGCGAAAGCCUGAUGCAGCAACGCCGCGUGAGUGAAGAAGUCUUUCGGUAUGUAAAGCUCUAUCAGCAGGGAAGAAAAUGACGGUACCUGGCUAAGAAGCCCCGGCUAACUACGUGCCAGCAGCCGCGGUAAUACGUAGGGGGCAAGCGUUAUCCGGAUUUACUGGGUGUAAAGGGAGCGUAGACGGCGAAGCAAGUCUGAAGUGAAAGCCCAGGGCUCAACCCUGGGACUGCUUUGGAAACUGUUUUGCCAGAGUGUCGGAGAGGUAAGUGGAAUUCCUAGUGUAGCGGUGAAAUGCGUAGAUAUUAGGAGGAACACCAGUGGCGAAGGCGGCUUACUGGACGAUAACUGACGUUGAGGCUCGAAAGCGUGGGGAGCAAACAGGAUUAGAUACCCCAGUA
rnacentral:rRNA from 1 species